UGUAUAAUGGGUCAGCGACUUAUAUUCUGUAGCAAGGUUAACCGAAUAGGGGAGCCGAAGGGAAACCGAGUCUUAACUGGGCGUUAAGUUGCAGGGUAUAGACCCGAAACCCGGUGAUCUAGCCAUGGGCAGGUUGAAGGUUGGGUAACACUAACUGGAGGACCGAACCGACUAAUGUUGAAAAAUUAGCGGAUGACUUGUGGCUGGGGGUGAAAGGCCAAUCAAACCGGGAGAUAGCUGGUUCUCCCCGAAAGCUAUUUAGGUAGCGCCUCGUGAAUUCAUCUCCGGGGGUAGAGCACUGUUUCGGCAAGGGGGUCAUCCCGACUUACCAACCCGAUGCAAACUGCGAAUACCGGAGAAUGUUAUCACGGGAGACACACGGCGGGUGCUAACGUCCGUCGUGAAGAGGGAAACAACCCAGACCGCCAGCUAAGGUCCCAAAGUCAUGGUUAAGUGGAAAACGAUGUGGGAAGGCCCAGACAGCCAGGAUGUUGGCUUAGAAGCAGCCAUCAUUUAAAGAAAGCGUAAUAGCUCACUGGUCGAGUCGGCCUGCGCGGAAGAUGUAACGGGGCUAAACCAUGCACCGAAGCUGCGGCAGCGACGCUUAUGCGUUGUUGGGUAGGGGAGCGUUCUGUAAGCCUGUGAAGGUGUACUGUGAGGUAUGCUGGAGGUAUCAGAAGUGCGAAUGCUGACAUAAGUAACGAUAAAGCGGGUGAAAAGCCCGCUCGCCGGAAGACCAAGGGUUCCUGUCCAACGUUAAUCGGGGCAGGGUGAGUCGACCCCUAAGGCGAGGCCGAAAGGCGUAGUCGAUGGGAAACAGGUUAAUAUUCCUGUACUUGGUGUUACUGCGAAGGGGGGACGGAGAAGGCUAUGUUGGCCGGGCGACGGUUGUCCCGGUUUAAGCGUGUAGGCUGGUUUUCCAGGCAAAUCCGGAAAAUCAAGGCUGAGGCGUGAUGACGAGGCACUACGGUGCUGAAGCAACAAAUGCCCUGCUUCCAGGAAAAGCCUCUAAGCAUCAGGUAACAUCAAAUCGUACCCCAAACCGACACAGGUGGUCAGGUAGAGAAUACCAAGGCGCUUGAGAGAACUCGGGUGAAGGAACUAGGCAAAAUGGUGCCGUAACUUCGGGAGAAGG
rnacentral:rRNA from 1 species